AAUCGAAAAAUGCAGAUGCCCUAGAAGUGGCAGAAAAUGCCGAAGAAAGAGAAGAAAGAUCAUAUGGUGUUAUAAUGAUGGAGAGGCUAACUGGAAGUGCAGAAGGAUGGAUAGAUCACAUGCUUCAGGAUAAAACAUUUGAACAUCCUUAUUUACAAGCCAUUGGAUUACAUACGUAAGUACUUUCUACGAUGAACCAAAAUAUUUUAUCGUUUAUAGACUAC